rnacentral:rRNA from 1 species
AGUGAACGCUGGCGGUAGGCCUAACACAUGCAAGUCGAACGGCAGCACAGUAAGAGCUUGCUCUUACGGGUGGCGAGUGGCGGACGGGUGAGUAAUACAUCGGAAUCUACUUUUUCGUGGGGGAUAACGUAGGGAAACUUACGCUAAUACCGCAUACGACCUACGUGUGAAAGCAGGGGAUCUUCGUACCUUGCGCGAUUGAAUGAGCCGAUGUCGGAUUAGGUAGUUGGCGGGUUAAAGGCCCACCAAGGCGACGAUCCGUAUCUGGUCUGAGAGGAUGAUCAGCCAAACUGGAACUGAGACACAGUCCAGACUCCUACGGGAGGCAGCAGUGGGGAAUCUUGGACGAUGGGCGAAAGCCUGAUCCAGCAAUACCGCGUGGAUGAAGAAGCACUUCGGGUUGUAAAGCCCUUUUGUUGGGAAAGAAAAGCAGCAGGUUAAUACCCCGCUGUUCUGACGGUACCCAAAGAAUAAGCACCGGCUAACUUCGUG